UGGUCCUUCCCGAGCUCCUCGCGUCUCUUUCAACGUCUCUCAUCCGUUCACCUUGCUUUCCCGUUUCUCCCAAGUACUCUCAAGCUUCCUUUCGCUCAUCCCUGUCCGUCUCCAGCUGCAUAGGUCAGGGUCUUCAAAAUUUCUGUUGUUUUUUCCCCUUUACAGGAAGCACAGGUCAGUUUGCUGUAGUUGGAGCUCUACCGAGGCUGGUUCCUGCCCUCCCAGAAAAGGGAUUUGGUCAAUUAGGUCAUUUUUUCCUUAAAGUUGUUCUAUGUUUUGAAAGACGUUUUCUUUCUCUUCUGAUGUUGAUCUAUACUUGAUUGACAGGGAUGAUCUGGUAGAGAAUUUAUGCCAAUGCCAAUCAAUUUUCUCUUGGAUUCUUUAGCAUUGACCUUUGGAACUUUACUCUUUAAUGGGAGGCCAAAGGGUUUACAUUUUAUUCUCUUAAUCUAAAAGGAAGAUUGCCAUGACUUGCACAUAGCACGUUAGGCAUUAUAAUACCUAAUCAUCUUGAAAUGGUCAGCACUUUUACAGCAUUAACUUCCUUGCAAAAUGUCAUGUUUCUAUGUAAGUAUUUGGGCAUCCUUUAAAAUUGAAAAUUUGAUAUAUAGUUUAUGCAGGAUGCAUGUCCAUGAAUUGCAUUAUUAUAUUUGUGAAUAUUUGUGCAUGUUUCAUUUAUAUAUAAAAAGGGCUUGCUAUUGCCAAAAGUUGUGAAUAUUUGUGCAUAUUUGUUCAUUGCUUUCUCUUAUGGUAUUUCAACUUUAGAUAUUUGUAAUAUCCUGAUAAUGGAAUUUAAUGACAUAGGUUCAUUGAGAGAGUUGCAUUUUUAAAAUGAAGGCAUCAUAUUGAGUUGUAUAUAUUGAUCUGAAUUAGAGUAUGCAAACUUUGAGUUGUAUAUAUUGCUCUGAAUUGAGUUGUAUAUAUUACAUUUUUUAAAUGAAGGCAUCAUAUUAACCUUAUGUAAACUUUGUAACUCUUGCAGAGGGCUCCAAGUAUGCAAUGAGAGGUUACUUGACCGACAAAGCAUAUGUGUAUGGUUUUGGCAUGGUGACAUUAGAAAUUGUCAGUGGAAUAAACAACACUAAUUUUAGGCCCAAGGAGGAAUUUGUUUAUUUUCUUGAUUGGCUUAUGUUUUGCAAGAGCAUGGAAAUUUGUUUGAAUUAGUUGACCAAAGUCUUGGCUCUAACUACUCAAAGGAGGAAGCACUGCAAAUGUUGGAACUGUCUCUUGUUUGCACCGACCUUUCCCCAAUGCUUAGGCCUGCAAUGUCAUCUGUGAUAAGCAUGCUCGAAGGCAAGAUGCCAAUGAAGGUCAUGCUGGCAAAUCGAGCAACUUGUAUGAUAGAUGCAUAUACGGAAUUUGAAGCAUUUGUUGGCUUGGUACUACUACGUACAACUAUUGUUGGUGUAACAUGGGAGUGCCAGGCAAGAGUUUUGUGCAAACUUGUUUCUUUGACCAAAUGCACCUUAUAAUCAUUGUUUUCGUCAAUUUCCUUUUCCAGGUCAUCAUUUGUGGAAU